ACAAAAAACUCUCGAACCCUAGCUAAUAACGACUCCCACUUUGACUUUGCAGCUCCUUCACCUUGGUCGACCUCAUUCUCCCUGACCUCGUUCUCCCCGACCUCGUUCUACAACCUGAGCUCGUUCUCCGACCCGACCUCGUCCUUCAACGACCCGAGCCACCUUGAGCUCCUUCACUGACCCAGAACCGCCUCGAGCUCCUUCAAUGACCUGACCACGAACUCAUUCUCCCACCUGAGCUCGUCAUUGUCCGACCUGAGCCGGCUCAAGGUAGUUCUCCGACCGCCACCAACGUAGUGGGGAGUUUGAAGGCUAGGACCUAUUAAUUUGGAAUCAAAGAAGUAAAAUCAAAAUGCCGUGAAACAGGAACUGUGUUGUUUGGUGGUGUUGCUCCGCGCCAUACCAUAAUACUAUUCACUCGGAAUCUCCCCAAGCUGCUAGAGUUAAAGUAUUGGCAAGUGGAAAUGCAACAGAAAGGCGAUUCAGUGUUUGGAUAGGUGGCAGUAUAUUGGCUUCUCUUGGUUCAUUCCAGCAGAUGUGGUUCUCCAAGGCUGACAUUUAACAGGUAUGAGGAGCAUGGGGCUUCUUAUGUACAAAGAAAAUGCCCUUGAUUUGUUGUCUUGGGAACAACUGCAAAUAGAAAAGGUCUCGAUUGUGCUCCAUCAAAUGGACAUUUUCCAAAAUUGUCAAAGCUUUGAGCCUGUAUCCAGUUAGAGACGGAUAGUGCUUUGAUUUUUAUUAACCGACUCUGAUAUACCGUAGCAUAUAUUAGCUUAUUGAUUAGGGAUUAAAGAUAUACAGAGCUGAGCUAAAUACUUUGGAGAGCUGAGAAUUGAUUAGGUAGAGUUGUGAGAAUAGAUGUUGGGGUAACCUGGCCUUAAAGAGAUACAGAGCUGAGCUAAAUACUUUGGGAAAGGCAGAAGAUGCCACUGAUCAUUGCCUUCUGCCAACUGUACUAAGUUUGCCAGGCAUAUGAUAAAAGGGAAAAGUAAAGAAGCUUUCGUUGCAUAGAUAUCAAGUACGUAAACAAGGUCAUAUAAAUAGUAAGGAGAGGUAAUUGCAACAGCAGUAGAACAAGUUCACCUCUUCCUCCUCGGAAACCAUAGGGCGUACCUAAACAACCGGGCGGAAUUGAGUGUGGCUAUUAUGUUAUGCAGUACAUGAAGAAUAUUAUUAAUGAUGACACACUUUCCUUUUCGAUCAAGUGGGCGGUAAAGACUCGGAAAGGAUAUACCCAACAACAACUUGAUGAGGUGCGCAUUGAGGUGGCCGACUACUUACAGACCUUAUUGUAGAUUCUGACUAGGAUGAGGAUUUUGAGAAAGGCUAGCUAGCUUUUGGUUCACUUUUUUUGUAGUAGAUGAAGUGAAUGCAGCAAUUAUGAACAAAAAUGCAAUAUAUAGUAAUUGUUAGGCUAGCCUUGUAGUAGGUUAAUUGGGGUUUUAUUUUGCCUAUUUUGUGAACUGUCAAUGAUGAUGAUUUUGGACAAAAUACCCCAAUAUCAAAUCACUUUUGUCAACUGUGGAUAUUGCAUUGUAUAGCAGCAGCUACA